rnacentral:tRNA from 1 species
GCCUGGCUGGCUCAGUCAGUGGAGUGUGUGACUCUUAAUUUCAGGGUUGUGGAUUCAAACCCCACUUUGGGUG